CAUCAUUCUCAGCCUCUGGGCCAGCAUCAAAUGUAAUACUUGGUUCUAUCAGUUUAAUAUCUAUGUGUCCUCUAUCUGAGGAAAAUAUAUUAAAUUAAUCUUUAGAGAUAGAGAGAAUGGGAGCCUGCUCUCUAAAGGCAGAUGUUGACUUUGUAUUAUAAUAUUGCAGUCAAUAAAUGAAAA